rnacentral:lncRNA from 1 species
GAAGAGAGGGUGGAUGAAAAAUAUAAUUUGUGUGUUGUAUGGGGUCAAAGUGGAGACUGUGAACCACUUAUUUACGCAAUGCGUGAUUAGUUGAUUUUUUAUUGUAAUGACAGUGGAAGGAGUUCAAUUGAGGACUUGGGGGAUGAUGUGAGAUCCGUAUGGAACAAGUGGAAUAGUGCUUCGUCAUCUCGAGCUAGAUUGACCGGUCUGUUGGCCUGUUGGUGGGUCAUCUGGAACGCAAAAAAUAGUAUCAUCUUCCGAAAGGCUAACGCCGAUCCACUAAUAACAGUGGAUAAAAUCAAGCGGUUCGUGACCCAGUGGAAAGAAUCUCUCUCGCCCAAACGACAUAUCUCUUAAUAUUUUAGUAUUUCUUACUAUACUAUUUUUUUUUCUUCUCCUUUGACAGAGGUUUACUUUCUCUCGUUGAUGUUUAAUUUAUCCUUCUUGUGAAUGAAACAAGUAGUACGCUACCUUUUCUCAAAAAAAAAAAAAAAAAAAAAAAAAAA